AUGACACUUUGUGUAUUUGUGUGUGUGUCAUCUUCUAGGUCAGUCCAUCCUAGAGUUGCAGAAAUAAAAUCCCUUCUAGUCAUAAAUGGUCUUUGGGAAAUGGUAUUCUUGCACUUUCUAUCUCUUUCCUGGGAAUUGUUCUGUAUUUGCUCUUUCUGCAACAGCUCUACUGAGACCAGUUUAUUGUUUAUUGUUUUCAUUUGUGGUUUUUCUGCCUUUGAGAGCAUCCAGAUCACACUGCCAAAAGCGUCCAGGCCGUGUCCACAGUCACCAGCCGAGAGUCUGACACAAACCACCAACCCCCCUCCAGCCCCUGUCUCCACCCAUCACACCCUCCAAUUUCAGGACUGCAUCCCAAGCCUGGCAUUCCAUCUGUGCAGCUCUGCAUCUCCUUACCGUUCUGCCUGUCCAUCCCAAAAAGCACACAGAGAGGAGCUGCAUUCCAGGGGUGUGAGUUUAUCCCUUUAAAUCACUGUGUUUCUGGGAGUCUGCUGCAGUUAUCUAAAUCCUGAUGUUCAGAAAUUCACAUUAACCCCUUGCCAAGAGCUGAUCAAGUACUGCACAUCGGUCCGAUGCAUCAUUUGACCCAUGAUGCCCCCAAGAUCACACACCCUUCCACUCAGGGUCAUCCAGGCAUGCAUAAGGGAUAAGAGGCUUCAGCUUCAAUCAUAUAGCCUCUUUCUGUACAACUGGAUGCUCGUGUCAGUUUCAAAGAAAUCUGAAUAAUGCAGAGUUAGUUAAAACAUUAAGACGACAUUUUUUUCUUCUUUUUCUUCUUUUCAGUCUUAAAGCUAAAGUGUCAUUUGAUGUUUUAAACUACUAGAAUGUAUCCUUUUGUAGGCUGAUUCCCCUGAAACGUGUAAACACUGAGGUGCUAUCAAAACAUUGUUGUGUUUGUUCGAGAAUCCCUACCAGUCCGACAUAGCAACACUGGCUCAACCAGUGGUGGGAGUCUGGGGUGGGGACAUUUUUUUUUUUUAACCAAUGGGAUAUUAUGAAAAGUGUUUAGGAAACCUGUAUUAAGAUUUUGCGUUGCAUGCUAGUGGUGCAGAAAUGAUACACUGUAAUAAAUUUGAAAUUCAUAUGACA
ensembl:lncRNA